rnacentral:rRNA from 1 species
CCUACGGGGGGCAGCAGUGAGGAAUAUUGGUCAAUGGGCGCAAGCCUGAACCAGCCACGUAGCGUGAAGGAUGAAUGCCCUAGGCGUUGUAAACUUCUUUUAUAAAGGAGUAAAUUAAGGCACGUGUGCCUUUUUGUAUGUCCUUUAUGAAUAAGGAUCGGCUAACUCCGUGCCAGCAGCCGCGUUAAUACGGAGGCACCGGGCGUUAUCCGGAUUUAUUGGGUUUAAAGGGACGGUAGAUGGGUUGUUAAGUCAGUUGUGAAAGUUCGGGGCUCAACCGUAAACUUGCAUUUGAUACUGGCAGUCUUGAGUACAGGUGAGGUAGGCGGAAUUCGUGGUGUAGCGGUGAAAUGCUUAGAUAUCACGAAGAACUCCGAUUGCGAAGGCAGCUUACUAGACUGCCACUGACGUUGAGGCUCGAAAGCGUGGGUAUCAAACAGGAUUAGAUACCCGAGUAGUC